rnacentral:lncRNA from 1 species
AAAUUCAUUUAAAAAUACUUUUGGUGCAUUUUCAUUUCAUUUGUUUGCAUUUUAUAUUUGUGUGACCUUUGUGAACUUCUGUUGGCCUUGGAUCAUGAUGAUUUAGAUUAUGAGUCUCAUCAAACUCAAUGGAUCUUGGAUGUUGAUGGGGUGAAAACCCUAAUCCACCAAAAUGGAUGAUUGAUUUUGAUGAUGACUUGAUCAAACUUUU